rnacentral:rRNA from 1 species
UACGAAGGGGGGCUAGCGUUGCUCGGAAUCACUGGGCGUAAAGGGUGCGUAGGCGGGUCUUUAAGUCAGGGGUGAAAUCCUGGAGCUCAACUCCAGAACUGCCUUUGAUACUGAAGAUCUUGAGUUCGGGAGAGGUGAGUGGAACUGCGAGUGUAGAGGUGAAAAUUCGUAGAUAUUCGCAAGAACACCAGUGGCGAAGGCGGCUCACUGGCCCGAUACUGACGCUGAGGCACGAAAGCGUGGGGGAGCAA